rnacentral:rRNA from 1 species
UGCAAGUCGAGCGCGAAAGUGGCCUUCGGGCCGCGAGUAGAGCGGCGAACGGGUGAGUAACACGUGGGUAAUCUGCCUCCGGGUGGGGAAUAACUCAGGGAAACUUGAGCUAAUUCCGCAUAACGUGGCCGAUCACAAGAUCGGCUACCAAAGCUGGGGACCCUUCGGGGCCUAGCGCCUGGAGAGGAGCCCGCGGCCAAUUAGCUUGUUGGUGAGGUAAUGGCUCACCAAGGCUCCGAUUGGUAGCCGGCCUGAGAGGGCGGACGGUCACACUGGAACUGAGACGCGGUCCAGACUCCUACGGGAGGCAGCAGUGAGGAAUUUUCGUCAAUGGGGGAAACCCUGAACGAGCAACGCCGCGUGGAGGACGAAGACCUUCGGGUUGUAAACUCCUGUCGGACGGGACGAAAGUUAUCGAGGUUAAUACCCUUGGUAGUUGACGGUACCGUACGAGGAAGCCCCGGCUAACUUCGUGCCAGCAGCCGCGGUAAUACGAGGGGGGCAAGCGUUGUUCGGAAUUACUGGGCGUAAAGGGCGCGUAGGCGGUCUGACAAGUCUUCCGUGAAAGCCCGCGGCUCAACCGUGGAACUGCGGGGGAAACUGCCAGACUUGAGUCCAGGAGGGGAGAGUGGAAUUCCCAGUGUAGCGGUGAAAUGCGCAGAUAUUGGGAGGAACACCGGAGGCGAAGGCGUCUCUCUGGACCGGUACUGACGCUGAGGCGCGAAAGCCA